rnacentral:rRNA from 1 species
UGGGGAAUUUUGGACAAUGGGCGAAAGCCUGAUCCAGCCAUGCCGCGUGAGUGAAGAAGGCCUUCGGGUUGUAAAGCUCUUUCGGACAGAAAGAAAUCGCACGAACUAAUACUUUGUGCGGAUGACGGUACUGUAAGAAGAAGCACCGGCUAACUACGUGCCAGCAGCCGCGGUAAUACGUAGGGUGCGAGCGUUAAUCGGAAUUACUGGGCGUAAAGGGUGCGCAGGCGGUUAUAUAAGACAGAUGUGAAAUCCCCGGGCUCAACCUGGGAACUGCGUUUGUGACUGUAUAACUAGAGUACGGUAGAGAGGGGUGGAAUUCCUGGUGUAGCAGUGAAAUGCGUAGAUAUCAGGAGGAACAUCGAUGGCGAAGGCAGCCCCUUGGACCUGUACUGACGCU